AAAUUGAAGAGUUUGAUCAUGGCUCAGAUUGAACGCUGGCGGCAGGCCUAACACAUGCAAGUCGAACGGUAACAGGAAUCAGCUUGCUGAUUUGCUGACGAGUGGCGGACGGGUGAGUAAUGUCUGGGAAGCUGCCUGAUGGAGGGGGAUAACUACUGGAAACGGUAGCUAAUACCGCAUAACGUCGCAAGACCAAAGAGGGGGACCUUCGGGCCUCUUGCCAUCGGAUGUGCCCAGAUGGGAUUAGCUAGUAGGUGGGGUAACGGCUCACCUAGGCGACGAUCCCUAGCUGGUCUGAGAGGAUGGCCAGCCACACUGGAACUGAGACACGGUCCAGACUCCUACGGGAGGCAGCAGUGGGGAAUAUUGCACAAUGGGCGCAAGCCUGAUGCAGCCAUGCCGCGUGUAUGAAGAAGGCCUUCGGGUUGUAAAGUACUUUCAGCGGGGAGGAAGGGAGUAAAGUUAAUACCUUUGCU
rnacentral:rRNA from 1 species